CGCCACCGCGACGCCAACUCCGUCGCCUGCAUCGAGGAUAAGUGCUACGUGCUCACAUUCAACGAGUACUGCAGAUAUAGAAAGCGGCUAAAAGCGUCAGAAGAGGGCAUCACGAUGGCGCCGUCCAUAGUGCCUGCGCUGCCGGCGAGCGAGGUGUCGCCCGCGCUGGCGCCCAACGACACCAAGCUGCCGCCCUCCGUGUCGCCGGACCUCGUGCUCUUCUGCCGCAAGAUAUACGACUUCAGGUCCAAGAAGAUCCACGUGCCCAACAAAUGAGAGCACGCCGCUACCGCCUGCACACGGUCGCCGCUCCUUUGCCGAAUGAUCUCGGCUGCUGCGAGUUACACUCGAUAUGGUUAAGCCAACGGUUGGGCAACGCAAUCUUGCUAAACCGAGAUCUAGUAAGCUCUCACUUCUUUAUGGAUGUGAGAAUUAUAUAGAAAAGUGAAUACCAAAGUCGCUUUUCGCGUUCGAUUGACGACUCGAUGAUGAAAACUGCAAUCGUGUCGUCUGUCCGCUGCAGUGGACUUUAAAAUUAUUGAUGUAUGAAUAGUGUCACCACCCCCAUCCCCCAAUUAGUACAAAUACACGUAGAAGCCCUUGUGGUACUUGACUCCAAGUUAUAUUUGUAAGUAAGAGCCGAUUGAAACUUAUGUUGCCAGUGUCGUGAUUUGUGGUAGAUAAAAUAUUCCGUGUUAUUUAUUUGCUGGAUUCCUGCUGACGUCGGAUUAUUAAAUAAAUCAUUUUUAUCAAUGGAUGCCUUUUAUAAAGUGUAAGUAGUAGUAAGAGUCGUAAAGCAUAAUGUGAAUAGAAAUAUGUUUGUUUGUUUUGCUUUUGGGGUAAUCUAAGUCCUUAUUAUUAUCGAUUUGGUAGUUUGCGAAUCGUGUGCUCGGGGACUUAUUUUGCAUGACUGAUUCUCGUAGUUUUACAGCUGCAUACACACUAUAAAGCAUUUAUUUCGAUAUGAUUUCUUUCCUUUGUUAUUGUAGCGUCUGUAAUAAAUUAUUAUUUUUAUAAUUUCGUGCAAGUGAGAGGUUUACGCUGUUUUUAAUCGAUAUAUUUUCGAAUAAAUCACGUAGUGCUUACAAUAAGUGUGUUGAUAUGAGAACCAGUAUAAGAAUACAAUCCCAAAGAAUUUGGUAUACAAAUUCGAUGAUUUAUUAUCAAUUAAAACUGGGAUGACUUUUCAUAUAUACUGGUUAUAAUAUAUUUGUAAAUCCCAUCCGAUGAAAAAAGUUACACGUAUUAAAAUGUGUAACUUUUUUCGUCAAAGAGGUCGAUUAGUGUUAAAUUUAACAUUAGCUGAAGUCCCUGCGAGUUUUAAUAUUUGGCGAAACCAUUUUACUUUUGUCUCUUCCUCUAUUUUUACUUUUAACUAAAAUAUGUAAUUAUAGAUCAGCGAUUUUCGAACAUGGCAGUAAAAGAACAUAUAACACCAAGAAUUUUACACAUUGUUUUUAUGUUUCAUAUUGGUACCAAUAUUUUUAAACAAAAUUUACGCUGCCUUUAAAGGAAUUGAUUUUUCAUUGCAUUUCAAUCAUUAGGUGUACGAUUUAUUUUGAUAAAUGAAACGGUUUGAUUUUUAAAAAGAUUUUAUUAAAAGAAAGAAGACUGAUUUUACGAAAACGGCAACAGUUUACAUCAAUAUGUUUUUCGCUACAUGCGACAAUGGUACAUUCAUUCAAUUUGUAAGUUAACCUUUUUGUAGAAGCGCAGUAUUUAACAUUAUUGAAACAACAAGUGGGAACAUUGUAACAUAUUUUAAAUGUAAUAUUAGAGCAUAGACUUAAACAUAAAAAAACACAGAUGUGUUAAAAAGAAAUCAAAUUCAAUUUUGAUAUUUGUCUGAAUGAAGCAGCAUCUUUUUAGAAAUUCGCAGACAAAUUGCUCGACUUGAAAAGGUGAAACGCUUUAACCUUUUAGUUUGACGAAUUUUACUGAAAAUGAAAAUGGAAGAACACAAAACACGUAGUACUCGGUUUACAUUAUUGCAGCCCAGCGAUCGAAAUCCGCGCUGGAUUACCACUGGAAAAAUGAAAACCCACACAAUGUAUGGGCUUACGUUUUUCCAAAAUUUCGCUGGAUUUGAAUACUGUAAACCGGGCAUCACGCGUUGCAUUUGUUUGUGAAUAAAUUUUAAUAAGUUCGGAAUAUAUAGCUCCGUAUUUCGUUCGUGAAAUUCUUGUAAAGGGCAUUUAAAUGAUUGUGUUUUAUAUAUUUAUUUUUUAUCCUCUACUUAGUUCGUGUAUGUGAUUUCGCUGCCUAACUUUUAAGCUAUUAUUAUUUUUGUAAAUAUUCUUUGUUAGUAGUACUUUCUAAAUUUGUUAUCCUUCCAGUGAGAUUAUUUUCUUAUUCAUCCUUAUAAUUAAAAAUCUAUGAAAUCGUGGUAUCAACAAUUUAUUUAAAUACAUUUAUUAAUGAAUUUUAUACUGUUUUAAUCAGUAUCAUGUUUCUAAGCAGGUUUUUGAACGCAGAACAAUUGAAGAUUUUAUAAAACACAAAUGUAUACAACAAACUAGACUACAAAGAUAUUAUUUAGAAAUCAAAUGAAAUAUUAAUGUUUACGAAUUAUAUCACAAAUGAUUCAUAAAUUAAUUUAAUAACGAUUAAAAAUAAAUUCUAAAUUGUUGAUUUAUGCAAAAACAUCGAUUUUAUUUCAAAAACCUGUAUUUGUUAGUGUAAAUAUUAUACUAAAAUGUACAUCAUUAGACAAAUAAUCAAAUACGAAAAAUCAAGGAGACCAAAAUGGACCACAAUGUGUCACUUCUUUUUCUGGUUAAACCGAUGGCGGAGGAUUGUGACAUACUUGGCAUGCCAACACUUUGUAACCCUUUACUGGUUCCCAAGAGGAUAAAGAUAAAUCAAUUAUACAAGGUAAUCAGUGUAAAAAUAUAUUAGUGAAAAAUAGUAAAUCAUGAUAACGAAAAAUUGAAGGGAUAAAUGUUUUCUAACAUUUUUGGGGCACUUUCCUCCGCCAUUAUACUCAUUAUUAAUUAAUGAUAGAUUUAACGAGUAAAUUCCAUAAUACUAUUACUAUAAGUGAGCCCUCCCUUGCUUGUAGAUGGAUUGUUUUAAAGAUGUUACCUGGUAUUCUGCAGAACCUUCUUAUAGUCAAUCAGUUUUAGAAUUAGGUUAUUACUAAUAAGAAAAAAAAUACCUUGUUUUUAUUAUUUAUUUGUUUCAAUGGAAAUUAUAUAGGUAUAUUUUUAUUAU